UUCUCGUGCUUUGUUUUAUUAUUUGAUAAGACUAAUACAAAAUAUUAAUUUGUAAUGUUUAUUAAAAGGGAUUAAAAGAGAAAGGCCUAAGGCGUCGAGUUAGUUACGUAUAAAACAGGUCAAUAAAGUGUUUUAUAUAUCCAUACAUGAAGGUAAACUUCGACUGUAUCGAUUCCCAACUAUGUCAAAUUAGUAUUAUUUCUUUAUCCACUUCGGUCUUUCUUCGGUUUUAGAAGAACAAUGUCGAAUUGGAAUCUUGUUUGGCUUCAACAAAAACAAACACCGUCAUACUCUAGACACGACGUCUUUCCGCCUGAUUUCGUCCUUAAUUCUUCAAACUGGAGCAGGAUUAACGAUAACAGUAAGAUUUUUAGAGCUUUCAAGCAAGCAUAUUCUCAUCUUUUAAAAGUUACUUCUAAAAAGAUGAUAAUCUAAAACUUUCUAAAUAAAGUUUUAUUAUUAAUUAGAAACGUCAAAACUCCCGGUCACUAAUGAUCGUGUAGCGAAUAUAGCGAAGCAUACUGUAUCGAGUUCAGCUAAGCGGGAGACGAUCGACCUAAAACGGCACCACGUUCCGAAUUACAUGGAGAUGAAUAAAUAUUGCUGGAACAGAAUGGAUUUUAUGAGAGAUUCUACAAAGCGAUUAUGGACUGCUGGAGGGGCCGUUAAUAGAGGAGGAACAUCCCAUUCCAAAUAGUAAAUCUAACCUUUGACUACACUCUACUUGCCGCCUACUUUUCCCAUAAUUUUGACUAAUAAGAAAAUUAUACGGUUGAGAUUCUGUCCAAUCAACUUGAUUUUGCAAGCGUCUUGCAUACGAAUUUGCUUUAAUAAAUUAUUGAUAGAGAAGGGUAGAAGGGAUUAGAGUUAGGUCGCCUAUAAACCUUACAUAUUUCUACCCUAAAGCAUACAGAGUAUGUUAAAUGUAAAAUAAAAAUACACGGUACUAUAAAAUCCACCGUAUAUAUUAGUAUGUUAUAUGCAAUAUAUAAAUAUAGGGAAUAAAGCAUUAGCCCACCAUACAAACUAACAGGUAUUUUCAAUUACAGGCCUAGUGUAGACGGGUCAGGCAAAAAAACAUACUGAUUCAGUCUAAUCUUUUGCCUUCUGUCAUUCAAAAACGUUUUGAUAAGCCGCGGGAUGACCGAAAACAUAUACAUGAUGCUGCUCAAAGCUAACCUUGGCCAUUUCCCUCGAAUUUUCGUCUACAUAUCCUCCCUCAGGCUUUUUUUUUUCUUCUUACCUUCACAAAUUUCAUCUUUUUUUCCAUCCCUCGAUCUCUAUCAUGGUCUCCUUUUUAAUCAUUUCGGCCUAAUUCUGAUCUUCUUAAGUGCUUUUCGUCACUCUUCAGAAUUGUCGCCAGGACUCGCCUAAACGUUCUUCUUCGUUUCUUCUUUCGACAAAAGACGAAUGAUCGCUGGUGUUUUAUCAGACAUUUCGUUUAUAUACGGCCUGAUAGGCGUCAGAAGGGUUAAAAGUUAUCAAAAACAGGGUUUUUGCGAAGGAAGGAGAGGCUUGGUCAUAAACGCUGUUAUAACCUCGUUGUAACAAAAUAGAAUGAGGAAAAAUUGCACUAUUUGCUAUUGAAGAAAAAACGUUAACUAGCAAUAGAUAUGAGUGUUAUAGUUGUUGUGUAAAUACAACAAUUAUUACCCAUUAAAAAGGAGAAGCGGUCAUAUGUUAAAGAAAAAGAGAAUAAUUUAGCUAUAAAGGGGGAAAAUAAAGAAAGAAAUUGUAUCUAUGGUGCGCUUCGAUAAUUAUUAUACGACCGUCUUGCGCAGUAGUCGACUGGCCGCUGCGCUAUUGCAGCUUUGCAGUCGUGAGCCGAAGAUGUUGUCGAAAAGUAUCUAUUUCAGAAACUUGUUUUGGAUAACUAUACAUAUAUUAUUCUUAGGUACUAAAGCUAUUAGAGAGGAGCUACAACUACUGAAGGACUUAUUGAAGGAUUAUGAUACGGCUGCCAGACCAGUUUUAAAUCAAUCACAGGUCGUUCAAGUAAAAAUGGGCGUAGCCCUCUUUCAAAUUAGAGAUCUAGAUGAAAAAAACCAAUUCCUUCAAGUAAAUGCAUGGUUUCAAUUCCAUUGGUAUGAUCCUCAUCUAACAUGGAACGAAUCGGACUACGGGAAUUUAACGAAUCUGCGUAUCCCAUCGACACGCGUUUGGAUUCCAGAUGUUGUUUUAUACAACAGUGUGGAUGAAACAAAACCCGCAACGGAAGUGUUCGCUCAUACAAAUGCCAUUGUGAAAUCGGACGGAAAGAUUUUAUGGGUGGUACCGGCAAUGAUUAAGUCUUCAUGUAAAAUAGACGUUCGAUAUUUUCCCUUCGAUGAGCAGAAUUGUAGUUUAAAAUUUGGUAGUUGGACAUACGAUGGUUUCCAAUUGGAUUUAACUAAUUUAAGAGAUACGGGAGAUUUAAAUAAGUAUAUAGAGAGUGGUGAAUGGCAUUUAGCUGGAAUGCCAGCAAAAAGAAAUGUCGAAUAUUAUUCAUGCUGUGUCGAGCCUUUUGUCGACGUUACUUAUAGUAUCAUUUUGAGGAGAAAACCAAUGUUCUACACCUAUAAUUUAGUGUUUCCGUGUGUACUUCUUAUGGCUAUAGGUGUUCUAGUAUUUUGUCUUCCCCCCGAAUCAGGAGAAAAAGUUUCUCUAGGAAUAACCGUCCUUCUAGCCAUGACUGUAUAUCAGCUACUUAUUGCUGAAGCUAUACCUCCAACGUCUGAGGUUGUCCCCUUAAUUGGGCAAUUUUUUGGGGCAACCAUUUUUCUAUUGUCACUAUCAUCUGCAAUGACAGUAGUAAUUAUGAAGCUCCAUUUUAAUGGUGAACAUGGUAAUAGGCUACCAAAUUGGAUGCGUAAAUUAGUACUUCACUGGAUAGCACGAAUGCUCCGCAUGAGACAGGCUACAGUCGAAAUACGUAAACCUUUGAGGGAUUACGACAGAGAAUUGCGAGCGGACUGCGAUAUAUCUCUCGGCCUAUUAGGCAAUCAUCGUGUGUCCGUCAAACAACCACCGGUUGCUUACUGCAGGAAGCAUCUUCAUCAUCAUCAGCAACAAAAUCAACAUCAACAUCAACAGCAGCAAAACAGAAGAAAUAUAGAGGAGAAGAGAAACGACCCUUUCUCAUCUUCUGCUUUCGAUAACUAUGUGCCUUCCACAACUGGAGAAGCUCUACCAGAAAUACUAAACCACGUUAGGCAAGUAAAUGAGGAAUUACAUCAAAGGUACCUAACGAAGGAAAUGGAUGAACACUAUAAGGGUGAAUGGCGUAUGGUAGCAUUGGUGCUCGAUAGAUUAUUACUCAUUACCUUCUUCGUUAUGACAGUUUUAACUGGAGUAGUUAUCUUUACUGACGUUCCGUAUUAUGACUAAUGCUUUUCACCACGAUCAAUUGUUUAUUAAAAUUCAAUUCUCCAAUUGUGUUAUUACUCAUAAUGCUAACUUUUAAUACCGUUUUUUUGGUAGACAUUCUUAUUGAGUAACGUUAAAUUGAAGCUAUUUAAAAA
rnacentral:misc_RNA from 1 species